GGAAUUUUGGACAAUGGGCGCAAGCCUGAUCCAGCCAUGCCGCGUGCAGGAAGACGGCCUUCUGGGUUGUAAACUGCUUUUGCCAGGGGCUAAAAAGCUCAUGCGUGAGAAAUUGAAAGUACCUGGUGAAUAAGCCACGGCUAACUACGUGCCAGCAGCCGCGGUAAUACGUAGGUGGCACGCGUUGUCCGGAUUUAUUGGGUUUAAAGGGUGCGUAGGCGGCUUUGUAAGUCAGUGGUGAAAUAUGUCAGCUCAACUGAGAGGGUGCCAUUGAUACUGCGGAGCUUGAGUACAGAUGAGGUAGGCGGAAUUGACGGUGUAGCGGUGAAAUGCUUAGAUAUCGUCAAGAACACCGAUAGCGAAGGCAGCUUACUAGGCUGAAACUGACGCUGAGGCACGAAAGUGUGGGGAUCAAAC
rnacentral:rRNA from 1 species